GAUGAACGCUGGCGGCGUGCCUAAUACAUGCCAGUCGAGCGAACAGACGAUGAGCUUGCUCCUCUCACGUUAGCGGCGGACGGGUGAGUAACACGUGGAUAACCUACCUAUAAUACUGGGAUAACUUCGGGAAACCGGAGCUAAUACCGUAUAAUCUAUUGAACCGCAUGGUUCAAUAGUGAAAGACGGCUUUGCUGUCACUUAUCGAUGGAUCCGCGCCGCAUUAGCUAGUUGUUAAGUUAACGGCUUACCAAGGCAACGAUGCGUAGCCGACCGGAGAGGGGGGUCGGCCACACUGGAACUUAGACCCGGACCAGACGCCUACGGGAGGCAGCAGUAGGGAAUCGUCCGCAAUGGGCGAAAGCCUGACGGAGCAGCGCCGAGUGAGUGAUGAAGGUCUUCGGAGCGUAAAACUCUGUUAUUAGGGAAGAACAAAUGUGUAAGUAACUAUGCACGUCUUGACGGUACCUAAUCAGAAAGCCACGGCUAACUACGUG
rnacentral:rRNA from 1 species